rnacentral:lncRNA from 1 species
CCUCCCUCAUCCAGAUAUUGAAAAUGAUGCAACUAGUCUUGUGCCGCUCAAUAUCGUUAGGAGUACCAAAGGAAUCCCUCAACACUUGAAGCAUUUCCUCUGGCUGAGCUUCUUCAAAUUUUUGACUGAACUCGUCGUUCAUGGAGGCCCGCAUGAUGUAACGAACCAUGGUGUGGUCGUUGAGCCACUUCAAAUAAGUG